GAUUAACGCUGGCGGCGUGCCUAACACAUGCAAGUCGAACGAUGACACUUAGUAUACUUCUUCGGAAAGACAUUAAGCGGAUUAGUGUCGAACUGGUGAGUAACUCGUUAGUAACCUGCCUUACACAAGGGGAUAGCCUUUUGAAACGAAGAAUAAUACCCUAUAAAACUAUAAAAGCACAUGCUAGACUGGUCAAAGUGAUAGCGGUGUAAGAUGGACUUGCGUCUUAUUAGCUAGUUGGUGAGAUAAAAGCUCACAAAGGCAACGAUCAGUAGCCGGCUUGGGAGAGUGUAAGGCAACAUUGGGACUGAGACAAGGCCAAGAUCCCUACGGAAGGAAGCAGUGGGGAAAUUUGAAAAAUGGGGGAAACCCUGAUGCAGCAACGCCGCGUAGUUUAGAAGGCCUUAGGGUUGUAAAAAUCUUUUGUAUAGGAAGAUAAUGACAGUACUAUAAGAAUAAGGUCCGGCUAAUUACGUG
rnacentral:rRNA from 1 species